UUUUUUUUUUUACUAGACUAAAAGAAUGUUUGUUUUUGUAGAUGUUGAAAGCCAGAGACAAGAUAACUUCAUUCUUUUAAUACACUUCUAAUAUCCAAAUCCGUUAAAGGAUUUUUAGGCUGCAUUAAUUAGGUAACCCGGAACCGGGAACACUUCCCAUAACACCCGAUGUACUUGCUACAUUGUUAGCAUCUACGCUCAUAUUAGUCUGUUUCUCUCUUAUUCCGAGGUCACCGUAGUCACCAGAUCCAGUCUGUAUGCAGAUCAGAGGGUCACUGCAGUCACCCGGAUCCAGUAUGUAUCCAGCCCAGAUGGUGUAUCAGCACCUAGAGAGGACCUCUACAGCCCUGAAAGACAGCGGAGACCAGGACAACUAGAGCCCCAGAGACAGAUCCCCUAACUCAAACUAACUUUGGAGUUAAGGACACAGAAGCCUGCUUGUGUGAGGAGGAGGUGAUUUUCUCAGCUUCUUUGGAAGAGAGGGAAAGACAGUUUAAGGCCACUGAUGAAGAGCAGGCGGUGACUGGGAUGAAUGCUGGUUAAAGAAGAGAAUGUGUUUUCCCCUAAACUGAUGCAACAGUGGUUUUAAAGAAGGACACUGCGAUGUAGAAGAUGUCACAUGCUGUGCUGAUGGGGCUUCUUCAUGACUACAUCAAUUAUGCUAAAGAGAUCAUGAAAAUUGACAGUUAUGCAUGAUCUGUAUUCACAGACUAUGAAACAAACUGUAUGUGU
ensembl:lncRNA